rnacentral:tRNA from 1 species
CAUUAGAUGGCCGACAAUAAGCACUGGUCUCUUAAACCAUCACAUAGUAAAUAAUUUACUUCUAAUGA